GCGCGUGUCCUUUUGGUUUCCGGCCUUUUGCUGGCUCCGACGGCGUGGACAUGGUUGGCGUGUCGUAGGCCACCCCAGGGAGGUAGCCUAUGCGGCGGGCCUUGGCUUUUCAUUUGCUUGGGGAAAAAUGGAGGCCACGUUGAUGCCAGAAGGGAUUGGCCUUUGAAACUGAGAAAUGGAAGAGCAGGAAACGAUGCUGUCUGCUUUUAGACCGUGAAAGAAAGCAGAUGAAAAGGUCUUCUUGGAAAUGUUAAGAUUGUUGGAUCUUCUAACUUGCACCUUCAAAGAGGUACAGUCUCUGCCUCAGCUAGUGGGAAAAGAAGCUUAUGAUUUGAGGAUCCUUUUUACUCCUAUAGCUGGAAGACUUUAGAAUAUCACUGAUAGUAGAAGCAUAUCUAUGCUAGGAGAGAAGUAGAAAACUUGUUCUUUACCCUAAAGCAGGUAAACACUGUUGAAAAAUACUGAAGCUUGGUGACCUACAGAUUAUCAGUAAGUACUACACAUUAGUGGGUUUAUGUAGUACUUUGGACUCAGUCAUAAUCUGUUUUGCCUUAAGGCAAGUUGAAACAUGAGAAUUCAAUGUUUUGUGCCCUGGAAGCUCUAAAAGCCAAUGAUGUUUUGUUAUCCCUGUCUGAAAACUUAAGUGAGGGGAAAGCAGAUCACUUCUGAGGCUUAGUAGCUUGCUGCUGCAGUAGUCUGUUUAUAUGUCAACUAUGAAGUUUGUCUUUUUGUAAGGAUUCAAGAUUUAGAAUAAAAUAUACUGCUUUGAUUCUUGUUUAUUGUGUACAAUCUGCAUGCCCAUUACGGUUUUAAUGUUCCUGCCCUAAAUCGGAAGACCCAAUUCAGAUGUACGUCUUAUCAUCUUGAGAGAUUCAGCACAGGUACUCAGUUUUGAGUUUUUUCUUCUUCACUCCUCAGUCCCAAUUUGCUCUUCCUACCUUCAACCAGGUGAAAGUAGCUACACCUUGUUCCUUUGAAUAGCUGUAAACAAAAUGGCCCACAUAAAAACAUCAUCUGGACUGUAAUCAGCCAAAGGAAUCCCCAGUGGAUUGUUUUAAAAAUCAUCCUCUAAGUACUUAGAUCAUUCUGAAGCUAAAAUUGCGUUUAUUCAUUCACUAGUCAUUCUAACAGACACUAAGCACAUACUUUGUGCAGAACGUUGUUCCUGGACAGAAUGUCGGAAAGGGAGGUAAGACAUGGGUCCCUGUCAUAGAGUUAACUAGAGUCGUACAAUAAAAUAUUACUUGAGGUCAGAGGUGAAAGGCCUUAUUGUCCAGGUGAAUCAGGAAGAACUUUCUGGUAAGUAGAUAGCAUUUGCUUUGGACUUCAAAGGGGGAGUAGGGAAGAGAGGCCAGAGAGGUCAGGUGACUGGCAGGUUGAUAAUCAAUUUGGGUGGAGUAGAAGUAAACUAAUAUGAAAUGGAAAGGCAGUAGCACCCUUAUUCAUUCAUAGGCAUUAAGUUAAUGUCCUACUCCCUGGAACAUGGUGGGGGAAGUUCCUCUGAGAUCUCAAAACUAGAGGUUUGGAGUUAGCCUUCUUGAGUCCUUACUCAGUCUUAGCAAACACUGCUCUAGCUAACCUUAGGAGCCCAUUCUCUGUGUAAGCCCUACCUCGUUCUGCCCUUCCGAUUAAAUUUUGUCGUUGUUGGCUGGGACAUGCCUACAUAUCAUUUUCUGUGAGUAAAAUAAAACCUAAAUAUUGCUGUCUGGCACUUUCUGCUUAGAAGUCGCACUAAAGUCAAGAGUGAAAAGACAUUGGUUAAAUAAUUUUGUUGUAGGAACGCCCGUUUAUUAGGGAAGACAAGUCAAGUUUUAUGCCAGUUUAAAGAAUACAGUGCCCUGAAAUAUCUUCACCUCCAGCCACUAAUCUUCUUGGCUGCCGCCCUUGAAGUCGGCGCUUUGACAUUUAACAACAGGGUGGUGGUACAGCACCCAGUGGCAGUUGCCUAGCUGUUUGGCUCAGGGUCCUUUAGGAAUGGCAUAUCUGGCAUGUGGCAGUCUUUCAGGCAGCCAUCUAAGAACCUUUGGGCAGAGCAAGGAGGUUGUGGGGGUGGUGCUGGAAAGCUCUUUGGCUUUUCUACAUUUAAAUGCCUGUCUUGAACUUAGAUAGAGGACUGCCUCUCUUUUCCACUGAAAGAAAAGAGUGCUUAUGUGUGGGCAUUUCAUAGUUAAUCUCACAUUUUUGGCUCAUCCACUGGAGAAGGUUUGUGUUUGGAUUAUAGUUUAGUGGACAUGAGAGUGAACCCCAUUAACUUACAGGCUGAAAUCAAACAGUGAAUUGGCAGAUUGAUGACUAUAAGAGAAAAGCUUCAUUUGGUUCAGUGAAAGGUUCAAUGAUGGUUGACCGCUGACCCACAAAGUAAUCAAGCCCUAUCCUUUAAAACCAAGGUGAUUGUGAGGAUAUAACUACCCUAAGUGAAAAUAUUCAAGGAAACCGUCAGUGACUUAACAGUUCUAGAUUCCCUAUUGGGAGAAAAAAAGGCAGAUUAUAAGUAGUUCUGGAACUUUCCUCACAUUUUUAAAAUCACUUUUAUAUAGUGUCAAUUUAUAAAGUACUUCAUGACUUUAUGAGAUGAGUGGUACAAGUUUUAACCCCAUUUAAGAAAAUGCAGUGUGGUGAAGGACACUGGAAUUGAAUUCAUGUAAGACUUGAGUCUGCCACUCCCAAGUCUCAGUCUCUUCAUAAAGUGAACCAUCUUAUUUAACUAAUGAAGAUUAAUAGGUCCAAGAUUAUUUAACUAUUAAGUGGUGGCUUAAACCUUGAAGGUCUUGCGACAAUCCAAUACUCCAGUACCAUGUAAUCUACUUAGAGGGCCAUGCCCAUACAAAAGUCAAGUCUUUGCUCCACCAUUUGUAUACCCUUGUAGAUUCUGCAUGGGGCAAACCUGCAACACUGAACUGGGGUUAGGAACCUUCUAUGUGGUGACCAUUUGUUGGCUGCUAUUUGACUUGUCGUUUUUUCUUUUGACAGGUAUUUUCUACUGUUGAAACUGCGUGUGGCCGCAAGCUUACUAUGUGUGUAUAUACUUUGAUGUAUAUGCUUAAAAAAUAAAGUUACUUGAAAACAUG